CAAAAUCAAAAUAAUUAUACAAACCAAAUUCUUCUUACAAUUGCUUCACAACUUGACAGGAUAGAGACAUUUAACAUAAAUAAUCAACAAACACCUAGGCCAGGUGGCAUACCUAUGAAACCUAUUUUUCAGCCUCACGAAAUUUCUGAAUAACAGUUAAUUAAAUUAAAUGAUAAAGAUGAAAUUUUAAAUCAAAUAAAUUUAAAAUUAGCUAAUCUGUCUUUAAAAGAUAAACCUUCUCUUAGCAUGCUUAAUUCUGAAAAAUCUGAACAAAAUGAAAAAUUUGAAAUUAAAGAUUUAGAAAGUCAAUUUGUUAAUAAUACUUUUGAAAUAAAUAAAAUAUACAAUAAAAGAGGAUACGACAAACCAAGAACUAGACACUAUUACCCUAGACCUACUCCUCCGGAUGUUUUGUUUGAAGAAAGAGUAAAUUUUACUCAAGCAAAAUAUGAUGGAGAUUCUGUCUAUGAAACAGUGGCUGAAAGAUUUUUAAUCAAAAUAAAAGAAGUGUAAAAACAUAAUCCAUCAUUACAGAUUUUAACUUUGAAAGCUUAUAAUUUAUUUGCAUUCUUGAACCG
rnacentral:lncRNA from 1 species